UACGGAGGGUGCAAGCGUUAUCCGGAUUUACUGGGUUUAAAGGGUGCGCAGGCGGAUAUGUAAGUCAGUGGUGAAAUCUCUAGGCUUAACCUGGAAAUUGCCGUUGAUACUAUAUAUCUUGAAUGCUGUGGAGGUAAGCGGAAUAUGUCAUGUAGCGGUGAAAUGCUUAGAUAUGACAUAGAACACCUAUUGCGAAGGCAGCUUACUACGCAGAUAUUGACGCUCAUGCACGAAAGCGUGGGGAUCAAAUAGG
rnacentral:rRNA from 1 species